rnacentral:snRNA from 1 species
GUACUCACUUUGGCAGCACAUAUACUAAAAGUGGAAUGAUACAGAGAAGAUUAGCAUGGCCCCUGCACAAGAAUAACAUGCAAAUUCAUGAUGUGUUUCCUAUUUUU